rnacentral:rRNA from 1 species
UACAGAGGGUGCGAGCGUUAAUCGGAAUUACUGGGCGUAAAGGGUGCGUAGGUGGUUAGAUAAGUUAGGUGUGAAAGUCCUGGGCUUAACCUGGGGAUUGCGCCUGAUACUGUGUAGCUAGAGUACUGUAGAGGAAAGUGGAAUUUCCGGUGUAGCGGUGAAAUGCGUAGAUAUCGGAAGGAACAUCGGUGGCGAAGGCGACUUUCUGGACAGAUACUGACACUGAGGCACGAAAGCAUGGGGAGCAAACAGG